rnacentral:rRNA from 1 species
CUUUGACCUCAAAUCAGGUAGGACUACCCGCUGAACUUAAGCAUAUCAAAGGUCGGAGGAA